UAAGUAAUGGGAAUUGCAGAAUUCAGUGAAUCAUCGAAUCUUUGAACGCGCCUUGCGCUCCUUGGUAUUCCGAGGAGCAUGCCUGUUUGAGUGUCAUGAAUCUCUCAAACUCUUAGUUGGGGAAAAAUAAGAGCUUGGACUUGGAGGUCUUUGCUGGCGCAAGUCAGCUCCUCUUAAACGUAUUAGCUUGGGUCUUGUAUGUCUAGAUCCUUGGUGUGAUAAUUAUCUACGCCAUGAUGUCCCUUCGGCCCUGCUUCUAAUCGUCUGUAAAAAGACAAUUAAAACACUUGACAUCUGACCUCAAAUCAGGUAGGAUCCCG
rnacentral:rRNA from 1 species